rnacentral:rRNA from 1 species
UACGUAGGGUGCGAGCGUUGUCCGGAAUUAUUGGGCGUAAAGCGUGCGCAGGCGGCUUCGCAAGUCAGGCGUGAAAUCCCCGGGCUUAACCUGGGAAUGGCGUCUGAAACUACGGAGCUGGAGUGUGGCAGAGGGAGGUAGAAUUCCACGUGUAGCGGUGAAAUGCGUAGAUAUGUGGAGGAAUACCGAUGGCGAAGGCAGCCUCCUGGGCCAACACUGACGCUCAUGCACGAAAGCGUGGGGAGCAAACAGG